AGGGGCUGGCCACAAGAGGGACGGGCGUGUCUCCAGUCAGCAUAGUCCUUGGGGGACGGGCAGGUCAGCUCCCCGACGCAGAGCCAGCAUCUUGGAAGGAGGGGUGAGUGGCAUAGUCUAAGCUGGGGACAGGGUGGUCCCGGCCCAAAGGACAGGCUCAGCUCCGUGAUGGCUGCGAGGGCCCCAGACCGUACCUCUGCACCCGGCCAGGGGCCCCACCUCCCACAUGUCCUCCCGGGGGGCCACACAGCCAGGGCGAGGGGGGAGGCUGGCCUCUCAGUGUGGGGAGGCCACAGGGCUGCUCCCCGUGGCCCAGCUGCCACCACCACCGCACGCUCCUCUGGGAACCCACACAGACCCAAGUGCGGGGUGGCAGGAACGGUGUGUGUGUCGAGGAAUCCCAGACCCACAGUAACACUUGAUUUUGCAUCAGCAACCCAGGCUGGCUCCGAAAAUGAGGCUCAGAAGCAGGUGUCACAGCGGAUGGCCUCUGUAGCACAAAUGGCUUAAAUCGGAGGAAACUACUUUCCGACCACAGCCGGUCUUACAUGAACAUAAGGGAGAAAGUGUUUCCAGUAAUUAGCACAAAUGAAGCAAACCUGGGCCCGGUGUGCGCCUGCGGGGAGGGUGUGCACGCAGGGGGGGCCCUGCACGGAAGGCCGUGCACGCAUGCGCGCGAGAGAAGGGCCUUGCCAGAAAGGCCCCCCUCCUGUCACCCGGGGCUGGGCGGGUGGCGGGCAGUGCGUCUGGGGCCACGGUUACUAACUGGCCUUCCCCCUUCCUUCCUGCACCUUCUCGGGGCUGAGCUCUCGGCCAGCGAGGCCAGGAGGCGGGUACACUCGGGGCGAUGCGCCAGUGGAUGGAUGCGUGCAGACAACGGGGCUGCGUCCCCCAUCCGCGCGCCGCCGUGUCGGCUGGAACUGCAGGAGCGGUUUGCGCUCAUGGGUUUUAAUAUUGAUAAUUUGAUAGAUGCUAGACUGAUCAGAAAAUAGAUGGUGGACAGUUUGAAAAUAAG
rnacentral:lncRNA from 1 species